rnacentral:rRNA from 1 species
CUUAAUUGGUGACUAGAAUGAAAGGCUAAACGAGCAUUCCUCUGUCUUAAAUUUAAACUUAGUGAAAUUAAACUAUCCGUUAAGAUUCGGAUAUUUCUUGAUUAGACGAGAAGACCCCGUUGAGCUUUACCUAAGCUUUUUAUUUAAAUGGUUCUCCUUGAUAAGAAAACGAUUUAACUUAGAAGAGCGACAGGUUUGGUUGGGGCGACCGCCCAAAUAAAAGAAACUUGGGUAAACAAGGGUUAAACUUAUAAUAGAUACAGCUUUAUUGAUAGACAGACAUGUUAAUUAAAAAGGAUUUCUCCUUUGCUAUAGCGACCCGUUACUAAUUGGUAGCGAAUCUGAAUAAAAGUUACCACGGGGAUAACAGGGUUAUCCAAUUCUAGAGUUCUUAUCGAAGAUUGGGUUUGCCACCUCGAUGUUGAAUAGCAGUAUCCUAGGGGUGCAGAAGCUCCUAAGGGUUGGUCUGUUCGACCAUUAAAACCUUACAUGAUUUGAGUUCAU